CAUCGUUAGUACAUCGUCUAUGCGUGUGCUAAUCAGCACGUUCAUAGUUCGUCACGCAUUCAUUCUUAUUGAUGAAGCGAGCAUCUGCUGACAAAGUGACACAAAGUGAAAGAUAGCGAUGGUUUCUUUUUCGUCCAGGAGCUAAGUUUCGUCGCAGACAUGCCCGCAAACAUGCUGACUCUGAGAGAUAUGGUAACUGAUGACGAGCUGACUGGCUUCACCGAGGAGGAUAAACUGCAGGAGGUGCAGAAAUACGUGGCCUCCUUUUCGUUUACGUUCGCCUUCGUAAAACUCUGGAAAAGCGCCCGCACCUGUCAGAGGCAUGCGAAAUAAUUGUGUUUAUGAAGAUUCACGUGAGGCUGAAGAGUUCAUUGCAGCAGCAGCUUCUCGUGUCUAGAAAGGCAUUCAUACCACCAUGGAGAAUACGGACGA